rnacentral:rRNA from 1 species
UAAUACGUAGGGGCCAAACGUUGUCCGGAUUUAUUGGGCGUAAAGGGCUCGUAGGCGGUUCAACAAGUCGGUCGUGAAAACCCGGGGCUCAACCCCGGGACGCCGGUCGAAACUGUUGUGACUAGGGUCCGGUAGAGGUGAGUGGAAUUCUCGGUGUAGCGGUGGAAUGCGCAGAUAUCGAGAGGAACACCAGUAGCGAAGGCGGCUCACUGGGCCGGUACCGACGCUGAGGAGCGAAAGCAUGGGGAGCAAACAGGAUUAGAUACCCUGGUAGUCCAUGCCGUAAACGAUGAACACUAGGUGUGGCGGAUUCAUUGACAUCUGCCGUGCCGUAGCUAACGCAUUAAGUGUUCCGCCUGGGGAGUACGGCCGCAAGGCUA